AUGUGGAGUACACCAGUGAAGAUGAACCUCCCCAGAUGGCAGCAGUCCUGCAGUUGUGCGUCAAGGAACUCUGCUUGGUGUACAACAUCACAGCGGCUACAAAAUGGCCCAAGCGCCUCAAAUAGUUCCUGCAGGAGGAGAAAUUGUACACAUUUGCCGGUUUCAGCAUUGAAGGUGACAAGAAGAUGCUGA
rnacentral:rRNA from 1 species